rnacentral:rRNA from 1 species
GGACGAACGCUGGCGGCGUGCUUCAUACAUGCAAGUCGAACGAGAAUCAAGAGCUUGCUCUUGAGGAAAGUGGCGGACGGGUGAGUAACACGUAGGGAAUCUGCCUUCAGGACGGGGACAACAGUUGGAGACGACUGCUAAUACCCGAUAUGGGCUGUAUUGAGAUAUACAUCUUGAAAAACUCCGGUGCCUGAAGAUGAGCCUGCGUCUGAUUAGCUGGUUGGCGGGGUAAAUGCCCACCAAGGCGACGAUCAGUAGCUGGUUUGAGAGGAUGAUCAGCCACAAUGGGACUGAGACACGGCCCAUACUCCUACGGGAGGCAGCAGUAGGGAAUUUUGCGCAAUGGGGGAAACCCUUGACGCAGCAACGCCGCGUGAACGAAGAAGCCCUUCGGGGUGUAAAGUUCUGUCAGUAGGGAAGAAUAAAUGACUGUACCUACAAAGGAAGCACCGGCUAACUCCGUGCCAGCCGCCGC